CUAUACCAUGCUAUUUUAACCACAUUAAGUGCACAUGCAAAAUAAAUAUGAAUAAACAAUAAAUUUAGAGGCCCAAAUCCAACAUUACCUUUUGAGUAAAUUCUAAAGGGAUUAUUACAUAAAUAGCCGUUCAGAUUUAAUGUUUACUCUUUCUAACCGGUAUACAUAAAUUAUACAUAGUUAUACAUAUACUGUACAUCAAUUAUAUAUGUUAUACAUCCGCUUCAGAUUCGGCUUCGGAUUCGGGUUCGGAUUUGGUCAUAUGAUCGAUUAAUUUAUUAAAUUUUUUAACCAAAUUUAUUUGUUAAUAGUAAAAUAUUAUCAGAAAUGUUAUUAAAUAUUUGUUUAAUAACCGAAUAUUAAUAUUAAAAUAAAUAUUAAUAUUAAAUCCAUUUCAGUUAUCCAAAUUUUAAUUUUCUGUUUCUGUAACGGAAAAUUAACUACCCUUCAAUUUUUCCUCUUUAUUAUUGAGUAAAUAGCCAUUUAUGUAAUGGCAUUUAUGUUGUGGCCGUUUUACAUAAAUAAUCAUUCUGAAGAGUUGCACCUCUUCAGAUUUCAGCCCAACUUUAGCUAUAAAUACAACACUAUUCUGCUAAGAAUUUCACUAUGGCUCUGAUCGUGUAAUUCCACCUACAAAUUCCUUGAUCUUUCAGUGCCUCUAUCACUCCCAAACUUACUGCUGUAACCCAUGCCCUGCUUGUUGAACUCAUUUUUUCAGUCUUGAUUGUUUAAACUCUUUGAUAAGUUUAUGAAGGUUUCUAACUCGUUGAAGAAGGCUUUUGUUUUGGAAGGACUUGAAUUUUAUGUUUGUUGAAUUCCCAGAGAUUUUAUACUUCUUAAUAUAUACUAGUAAGUGCUCCACAAAACUAGAGGUUUUUGGCUUUGAAUUCCUCUGGUUUUGGAGCAUGGUUUUCAACACUUUGAGUGUGGUGUGCAGCCGUGGAGGUACCUUUUUGCC
rnacentral:lncRNA from 1 species